GUGGGGGACAGCAACCAGGGCAGGGUGGAGCUGACAGAAGGGCCCCCGGGAGUCACCUGAGGUGUGAGAUGUUCCUGUGCCAGCAGAUUCCGCACCUCACUGGAGGAAGGUCCGUUUGCUCACUGUCCUUUUGGUCCUCAUGGCCAGCCUGGGAAGUGGGGAUUACUUUGAGGACCGUCGUGCAGAUAAGGAAACUGCGGCUCAGAGAGGACGCCUACCACAGCAUGGCUUGCCAAGCGGUUCCACAUCCACACCCGGGACCCGAACCAGCAAACCCCAGGCUGCUGAAGCCGAACGUGGAAACAAGACACCAAAAGCAAGAAUCAGCACAAAAAAGGGCAACAGAAAUAAUAAGUAUGCGACAUGUGGAAGUGUUAGCUAGUCUUGCGCUGGUAAUCACAUUGCAAUAAAUGAAUGUAUCAAAUCGACACAUUGUAUGCCCUAAACUUACACAAUGUUACAUGAUGAUAAUAUCUCAAUUAAAAAAAAAAGGACAACAGAAAUAGACCACAAGGACUUUAGGUAUUGGAAUUACCAAAAAUUAUGGUCUUAGAAUCACAGGCUCAAAGAUCCUCAAGGACAAGUUCAUCCUAAAAUGCAUGUGGAAAAACAAGGGACCAGAGUAGCCAAAACAACCUCGAAAAAGAAGAACAAAUGUGAAGGACUCACACUUCCUGAUUUCAAAGCUUCCCACAAAGCUACCGGAAUCAAGACUGCGUGCUACCAGUGUAAGGACAGACACGUAGAUCAAUGGAGUAGAAUUGAAAGUCCAGAAAUAAACCCAUAUACAAUGGUCAAUUGACUUUUGACAAGGGUACCAACAAACUCAAUGGGGAAAUCAUCUCUUCAAUAAAUAAUGCAGGGACAACUGGAUUUUCAUGCAAAAGAAUGACGUUGGACCUCUACUUCACACCAUACACCCACAUACACCAUUAACUCAAAAUGGAUUAAAGUUCUAAAACUGUGAGCUAAAAUUAUAAAACUGUUAGAAGAAAACAGGUGUAAAUCUUCGUGACCUUGGAUUAAGCAAUGGUUUCUUAGAUAUGACAUCUAAGCGUAAGCAAAGAAUGAAUAGACAAAUUGGACUUGAUCAAAAUUUAAAACUUGAGCUUCAAAGGACACUACGUGAAAAGACAAUCCACAGAAUGGAAAAAAAUAUUUGCAACUGAAAUAUCUGAUAGGGGCCUCAUAUCUGGAAUAUAUAAAGAACUCUUACAGUUCAACAAUCAAAUGCCAAAUAAUCCGAUUGAAACAUGAGCAAGGAUUUGAAUAGACAUUUCUCUAAAGAUGAUGUAUGAAUGGCCAAUAAACACAUGAAAAGAUGAUCAACGUCAUUAAUGGUUAUGAAAUUGUAAAUCAAAACCACAAAGAGAUACCACUUCACACCCACUAAGACGACUACAAUAAAAAAGACACAUUAACAAGUGUUGGCAGAGAGGCGGAGAAAGUGAAGUCUUUAUACACUCCUAGUGGGGAUAUAAAAUGGUGCAGCCACUUUGGAAAACAGUUUGGCGGUGUCUCAAAAAGCUAAAGAUGGAGUUCCCGUAUGCUGCAGCAAUUCCACGCCGUGGAAGACAUCAAGAGAAUGGAAAACAUGUUUACAGAGAAACUUAUACUUGAAUGUUCAUCACAGUGUUAUUCGUAAUAGCCCCAAAGUGGAAACAAUCCAAACGUCCAUCCUCGAAAUAGGGUGCACCCAGACAAUGGAAUAUUACUCAGCCAUAAAAAGGAAUGAAGUCCUGACACGUCAUGAAUGAACCUCGAAAACAUGCUGCGUGAAAGAAGCUUGACACAACCCUGCAUGUUCGUUCCAUUUAUACGAAAUGUCCAGAACAGGUGAAGCCAUGGCAGAAAGUAGACUAGUGGCUGCGGGGGUGAGGGGGUGGAGGGAGGAGUGACUAAUAGGUACAGGGUUUCAUUUGGGGGCGAUGAAAAUGUUCUGGAACUAGACAGUUGACGGUUGCACAACCUUAUGAGCAACCAAAAUGAUUGAAGUGUAUAUUGUCAAAG
rnacentral:lncRNA from 1 species